rnacentral:rRNA from 1 species
UACGGGGGGGCGAGCGUUGUUCGGAAUCACUGGGCGUAAAGGGUGCGUAGGCGGGUCUUUAAGUCAGGGGUGAAAUCCUGGAGCUCAACUCCAGAACUGCCUUUGAUACUGAAGAUCUUGAGUUCGGGAGAGGUGAGUGGAACUGCGAGUGUAGAGGUGAAAUUCGUAGAUAUUCGCAAGAACACCAGUGGCGAAGGCGGCUCACUGGCCCGAUACUGACGCUGAGGCACGAAAGCGUGGGGAGCAAACAGG